AGCUAAUGUCAUAGGAUUUGUCACGAUGGGGCUUCACCCCCUCGUGACAGCUCUUAUUUUUCGUCUUUUCCUCUGUUCCUGGUUCAUGCCCUUAUUUUGUAUUCACUUCCUGUUUUGCUCUGUUGUGUUUUCCGUUGCUUUCCAUCAUCUCCCGCACCUGUUUCCCAUUUUCUGUGAUGUCUAUUUAGUUCAGGUGUGCGCUCCUCCUUUUAGUUGUUGGGUCAUUGUCGUUUUUUCACCUUUAAAAACUCUCCAACGUACAGCAGAGAACACCAAGAGACUCUAGAAGUGGCUCUGCUGACCAGUGGUGCGGUUCUUGAAGGCGAGGUUCUUGAACGAAGGUGUUUGAACAGCAGAUGGAACUCAUUUAGGGAUAAAUGAUUUAAGAGGGCCAAGAGGACCAGAUGGAGACUGUGGGCCAUCUGCCGACACACCUGCCACACACCUGACCGACUGACCAGACACAAACAACACAGCGGCAUGUAUGUGUUAGCACAUAGGCCACACAGACAGGAGAUCGGGAAGACCCCGCAUCUCGUCUGAGGACAGCUGGGAUAGGCUCCAGCACACCCCGAAGUCAU